rnacentral:rRNA from 1 species
UCAACUUUAUUUGCUUCUGUGAAUAGAGCUUGGACUUGGAGGUUUAUUGCCGGUACACCUGUGAUCGGCUCCUCUUGAAUGCAUUAGCUCGAACCUGUGUGGAUCAGCUAUCGGUGUGAUAAUUGUCUACGCCGUUGCUGUGAAGCAUGUUAAUGGGAUCGGCUUCUAAUCGUCCUUUUACUUGGGGACAAUGACUUCGACCUUUGACCUCAAAUCAGGUAGGAUUACCCGCUGAACUUAAGCAUAUCAAUAAGCGGAGGAAAAGAAACUAACAAGGAUUCCCCUAGUAACUGCGAGUGAAGCGGGAAAAGCUCAAAUUUAAAAUCUGGCGGUCUUUGGCCGUCCGAGUUGUAGUCUGGAGAAGUGCUUUCCGCGCUGGACCGUGUACAAGUCUCUUGGAACAGAGCGUCAUAGAGGGUGAGAAUCCCGUCUUUGACACGGACUACCAGUGCUUUGUGAUGCGCUCUCAAAGAGUCGAGUUGUUUGGGAAUGCAGCUCAAAAUGGGUGGUAAAUUCCAUCUAAAGCUAAAUAUUGGCGAGAGACCGAUAGCGAACAAGUACCGUGAGGGAAAGAUGAAAAGCACUUUGGAAAGAGAGUUAAACAGUACGUGAAAUUGCUGAAAGGGAAACGCUUGAAGUCAGUCGCGUCGGCCAGGACUCAGCCUUGCUUUUUUGCUUGGUGCAUUUUCUGGUUGACGGGCCAGCAUCGAUUUUGACCGCUGGAAAAAGGCCAGGGGAAUGUGGCACCUUCGGGUGUGUUAUAGCCCUUGGUCACAUACAGUGGUUGGGAUCGAGGACCGCAGC